rnacentral:rRNA from 1 species
UGAUUAGUGGCGAACGGGUGAGUAACACGUGAGUAACCUGCCCCCCACUUCGGGAUAACCUCGGGAAAUCGUGGCUAAUACCGGAUACGAGCACUCAUCGCAUGGUGGGUGCUGGAAAGAUUUAUCGGUGGGGGAUGGACUCGCGGCCUAUCAGUUUGUUGGUGAGGUGAUGGCUCACCAAGACGAUGACGGGUAGCCGGCCUGAGAGGGCGACCGGCCACACUGGGACUGAGACACGGCCCAGACUCCUACGGGAGGCAGCAGUGGGGAAUAUUGCACAAUGGGCGAAAGCCUGAUGCAGCGACGCCGCGUGGGGGAUGACGGCCUUCGGGUUGUAAACCCCUUUCAGUAGGGAAGAAGCGAGAGUGACGGUACCUGCAGAAGAAGCGCCGGCUAACUACGUGCCAGCAGCCGCGGUAAUACGUAGGGCGCAAGCGUUGUCCGGAAUUAUUGGGCGUAAAGAGCUUGUAGGUGGCUUGUCGCGUCUGCCGUGAAAACCCGAGGCUCAACCUCGGGCGUGCGGUGGGUACGGGCAGGCUAGAGUGUGGUAGGGGAGACUGGAACUCCUGGUGUAGCGGUGAAAUGCGCAGAUAUCAGGAAGAACACCGAUGGCGAAGGCAGGUCUCUGGGCCAUUACUGACACUGAGAAGCGAAAGCAUGGGUAGCGAACAGGAUUAGAUACCCUGGUAGUCCAUGCCGUAAACGUUGGGCACUAGGUGUGGGGGACAUUCCACGUUUUCCGCGCCGUAGCUAACGCAUUAAGUGCCCCGCCUGGGGAGUACGGCCGCAAGGCUAAAACUCAAAGGAAUUGAC